rnacentral:lncRNA from 1 species
UUCUAAAACCUUAUAGUGUUAAGUUUUGAAAGAAAAAAAUAUUUGAUUGGUGGAGGCGGACAAUAAAUGGUCGCGCUCAGACAAGAAAACCAUACCCCCUUUAAAGUUAAAUGAUUAACUUACUUCCUUGUUGAUGGAUUGUUUCCUGGCUUGCUUUGGUAGAGUAUUGUUGCAUGUUUCACAUUCGAGUAAUAUAUAUACGCAUGUGUAGUACAUGAAAUAUGAAGACACCGGUGUACUACUAUAGUACUUGACUUGUAAUAGUGAGCAUGUAUGAGAAAAAUAGAGUGAGCCAAUUGUAAGAUGCUAUAAGAUAGACUAACAAGAAUGUGUCCAUAGUACACGGAUGCCCCACUCGCACUAUCAUUUUACAUGUUCAGUGGACCGUGAAAUUGGGGUCAAUACUUUAAUUUGGCGUUAAAAUUAGAAAGAUCAUAUCAUAGGGAACAUGUGUAAUAAGUUUCAAGUUGAUUGGACUUCAACUUCAUCAAAAACUACCUUGACCAAAAACUUUAACCUGAAGCGGGACGAACGGACGCACAGACGAACGAACGAACGAACGGACGCACAGACCAGAAAAAAUAAUGCCUCUCUACUAUCGUAGGUGGGGCAAUAAAAAUGUAUCGAAAAUAUAGCACAAAAGAAAUCAUGAAAUAACUCAGUGCAAUCCCAAUCUAAGAUGCAAACACAUCAAAAUAAAAACAAAAUCACACCAUAUCUCCACAUGACACAAAACAAAAACCAACUGCAAUCAACAAAUAAGACGCAAAGAGUCACAAGAAAUUAAAAAAAAAAAUCCAUUCGCGGGCAACUACCGACUUAUUAUACUGUAUGAUCGAACACAAACAUAGCCAAAAUAUGACACCAAAGAAAUAAGACG